UUUAAGCUCCAUAUAUAAAGAGUUUUCUUUUAUUAGAA
rnacentral:tRNA from 1 species